AUGGAAGCCACUCAGCCAGUUCCAUGUAGUUCAGCCCCCCCCCCCCACCGGCUGACAGUCCUCAGAGGCCUUUCACUGAGGAGGCAGCUUGGGAAACUGGGAGCAUCGAACUCGCUCCUCUGGUGCACAAGGCCCUUUGAUGCUAGCCCCCAACAUGAAGGAGAAGCCACCAGUGCCCCAGGAGGACCUCGCCCUGCAGACCGUCCUGGCCCCUCUGCUGCCAAAAACCUGGACUUCCUGCCAGACUCAGCUCCACUCCUUUCUAUGAGAAGCCUUUCCACAAGUAAUUCCCUAACCGCAAGGAACGAAGCUUCCCCUCAUGUUGCUUUGUAUCUAUUUGUAUAUAACUUGAAUAUAUCUCAUUUUCUUUUGUAUUACUUUGUAUCUAUUUGUAUAUAACUUGAAUAUAUCUCAUUUUCUUUUGUAUUACUUUGUAUCUAUUUGUAUAUACUGUAAACUGUCUGGGGCUCCCUUUGUAUUACUUUGUAUCUAUUUGUAUGUAUCUAGUUCUUUGGUGUUACUUUGUAUCUAUUUUAUAUAUACUUUGAAUUAUCUAGGUCUCCCUUUGUGUUAUUUUGUAUUUCUUUUGUGUGGGGGGGGGUGUUAUAUUUCUAAUUCUUAGCAUGGUUAUUGUCCUCUUAAAACAUAAGUUGCUCGAAGGCAGGGAGCCUCUUACCCUUGAGUUUGUGUAUCCCCAGCAAUACGUGGCACAUAGUAGGUGUUGUGGGUGGAUGGGUGGUUCCACCAGAGCAACUUUCAAAAGUUAUUUACAGGGACAGCUAAGGAGCACAAUGGAGAGAAGGGAGGGUUUGGGGCUUUGCUCUUGUUGUUAUCUACAAUAUGCUCAAUCCAUAGUCUAUUCCUUAUAAUAUUAAAGCACUCUUGCUAUUAUUCCUAUCAUUAUGUUAAUAAUAAUAACCUUCCAUUAAGUGUUUGUGAAAAGACAUAAAGAAAAGAGAAAAAUAGCCUGGGAAGGUAAGGCAUAAAUGUCUAGAAAUUCACCUCAAUGAAGACUCAGACUCGGAAGGGACCUCGGAUACUGUUUGGUCAACCCCUUCAUUUUCCUGAUGAGGAAACUGAGGCCAAGAGGCAUUGUAGCUUAUCACAGAUUGGUUAGGUGGUCGGUAGUAGAGUUGGUGCCUAGGCUUUCUGGUGCCAAAGCUAGCAUUCUGAAUUGUGCUGCCCACUGUACUUUCCUGCCUUCUACUAGCUUCUGACACAUGAUUUUAUGCUCUUUACACUAGGAAGGGGGGACCUGUCCUGAGGAAAACAUAUGGAACUAUGUAAUAUAUAAUUAUAUAUUAUGACAAUGUAAUUAAUAUAUGAUACAAUAUAACAUGAUAUGAUAUGAUAUGAUAUAAUAAUAUAUGGUUAUUAUCAACUACCCCUUCUCAGAUAU
rnacentral:lncRNA from 1 species